AAGUCGUAACAAGGUUUCCGUAGGUGAACCUGCGGAAGGAUCAUUACAUUCAGUAGCCUAGCUACUUGUUUAUACCCUUGUUUUUUGCGUACCUAUUGUUUCCUCGGCGGGCUUGCUCGCCGGUUGGACAAAAAUUACAACCUUUUUAAAUCUUCAAUCAGCGUCUGAAUUAUACAUAAUAAUUACAACUUUCAACAACGGAUCUCUUGGUUCUG
rnacentral:misc_RNA from 1 species